rnacentral:rRNA from 1 species
ACAGUCCUAACAGCUAGCCCUCCUCCCCAAAAACAACAAACAUUAUUAAUAACCCCUCAUCAACAACACAAACAAACAACAAACCAUUUUUCCUCCCGAGUAUGGGCGACAGAAAAG